rnacentral:rRNA from 1 species
UACGGGGGGGGCAAGCGUUGUUCGGAAUUACUGGGCGUAAAGGGCUCGUAGGCGGCCAACUAAGUCAGACGUGAAAUCCCUCGGCUUAAUCGGGGAACUGCGUCUGAUACUGGAUGGCUUGAGUUUGGGAGAGGGAUGCGGAAUUCCAGGUGUAGCGGUGAAAUGCGUAGAUAUCUGGAGGAACACCGGUGGCGAAGGCGGCAUCCUGGACCAACACUGACGCUGAGGAGCGAAAGCCAGGGGAGCAAACGGG